CGUGGCUAGAAGUUACUGUGCGGCGGCUGCUAAGGAGGCGGCUGUGGUGGCGGUGGCGGCGGCUGAGGCGGUGGCUGAGGCGGCGACGGAGGAAACAGAAGAUGGCAGAUUUUUUGAAAGGACUGCCUGUCUACAACAAAAGCAAUUUUAGUCGAUUUCAUGCCGACUCUGUGUGCAAAGCCUCGAACCGACGUCCCUCAGUCUACCUGCCCACUCGGGAGUACCCGUCCGAACAGAUUAUUGUGACAGAAAAAACAAACAUUCUUUUGCGCUACUUACAUCAGCAAUGGGACAAAAAGAAUGCCGCCAAGAAGAGAGACCAGGAGCAAGUGGACCUCGAGGGUGAGAGCUCGGCGCCCCCCCGCAAGGUCGCACGGACCGACAGCCCGGACAUGCACGAGGACACUUAAGACUCACACUCCCCCACAGGCGCCUCCUGUCUUGUCUGCUCCUCGCCUUCCCACCUUGUCCCCAGACGAUGGAGCCACUGAGAGUCGUCCCAUCAUCACCAAGAGGAGCCGGAAGGGGCCCCCAGACGGUGGGGCCCCAGGACCAGCUGGAUUCUCUCGUGGGCCUGCUGCGGCCAUCUCGAUCAGAGCCAAGACCUGCCUGGACCCCCCUCUACCCCAGCCGUCAAGGUGUCCUUGAGGACUGGGACACCCCAGAGAGACGGUCCGUGCUGCCAAGGAUGGAGCUGUGGUGGGCCCCACGCCCAUGACACUGGCGAGCAGGGCGGCACGCCCACCAGCCUCUGUGGAGACAGCCCAGGUGGCCCGGCCUCACGCCCUCAGAGAGGAGGCACGUGGAGCGCCGCGGGAUGCCCAGCCCCAGUGCCCUCAGUCGGCAGGUUCCACGGCUAUUCCCGGGAGCCAGCUGGACUGGGCUUGGGGCUGAGCCCGGGGACGUAGGGGGGCAUUUGGGCUCCAGGCAGAAGGUUUGAGUUCCUGACCACUGGGCACAGGGCCAGGGGAAUGCCGCUGCUUCCCCCGCCAGCCCUGAGUGGGAGCCAGAGUGCUGGAGCUGAUGGCUGGGGUGUUGGGGGCGGUGAAGGGUUGGGCUGCAGCGUGCGUGAGGGACACAGGGGCUGCAGGGGGCGCCUGCCCCAGGUUGUCACCGUGGAGGGCCCAGCCUGAGGCAGACUGCUCCGGCCUGAGCUGCCCCGUGUCUGCUGGGUGGAAGGCUCCUGGAUUAGCUGCCCAGCUGUGGGGCCCAGCUCUGGGCGCAUGUGCAGCGGUGUUCAGUUCCUGUGGUCGUAAGGCAGGUGCUUAGGAAAUGCAAGCUUGACUGUGGUCGUGCUGGGGAGGGCUAAGUCCCUGGGGGUUCUCAGACCAGCUUGGAAUCCCCAGUCCCAGGGGUUGGCCUGACCCUGGGCAGGCGCGCGGUGUCGCCGUUUGUUGGUGGCAGAGUAGAUGGCAGGACUUCAGCUUCAGAGGCCGUGGGGCAGGGCAGGCGCAGGCUUCAGCCUGUCCUUCCCCGAGGCUUGCCCACACCUCCCUGGCCCCAGGUUCCCCUUUGAGGGGCUGGGUUCUGUCUCCUGCCAGUGCUGUCCACGGUGUGGGCAGGGGUCCCGUGGUCUCCCCAGCACAGGCCCCUCAGCCAGCCUCCACCCACCCCUCUUGCCUUUACUCUUACUCUGUUCCCCCAAACACCAAACCCUGCCUUCCCACACCUCUGUGCCUUUGCACAGGCUGCUCUCCUGCCUCCAGUGAACCCUGAUUUCUCUUUCAUGGGCCCCCCGCAAGUGCCCCUUCCUCACACUGGCUCCCCCAGCCCUGCCUGGGGUGGGGCCCGUUGGGCCCUGAGCCUUUGUAUGUGGACACACCUGAGGGUGGGAGAGGCCAUGUCCAUCCCUGAUCACAGUGAAGAGUCCCAGCGAAUAGGGUCUGACAGCCGUCCCACAGUGGGGCAUCCCGGCCCUUCCCAGAAGCCACACCCCAACAUGCCAUCCCCUCAACAUCGAGACUUAGGCACCAGGUGCCUUCUGACUUCCACACCCAAGUUCUCCCCGCAGCCCUUGACUCCUCAGAUGGCAGCCUGGGAGGCGGGUGUGCCAGAAAGGGUAGCCCUGCACGACUGAGGCUGACUCAGGACCCAGGCCCAGGGCCCACACUGCUGAGUCCUAUCAGUACUUUGAGAUUUCUUUCUUAGUCUAGGAGACCGAAGAUGGGGCCUGAGGCUCUGCAGCUCCUCCCAGGGGCCCCUGGGCCUGGAUUUUUGGAGUUUUCCAGCCAUGGCCUGGAGACCCAGUUCUUUGGAGGAGUUCCCUAAGGGUCAUAGACGGGGGGGGACCCACCCUAGGCCUGCCAGGCCCCCAAAGAGCUGCCCCCAACCUCGUCAGGGCCCCUUACGUCCCUUUUCCACAGCUCCGCCCUUCGGCACUGUUGAAAUAUACUUUUUAUUGCAUUUCUGCCGUUUUACAAAAAUAUGACAAAAUAAAUUAAAAACAAAUAAAUAAUC